GCCUUCGUAGUGCAGUGGUCAGCAUGCUUGACGCUUAUUUGAGAGGUCCGUGGUUCGAAUCCUGGUGAGGGCA